GACGAACGCUGGCGGCGUGCCUAAUACAUGCAAGUAGAACGCUGAAGGAGGAGCUUGCUUCUCUGGAUGAGUUGCGAACGGAUGAGUAACGCGUAGGUAACCUGCCUGGUAGCGGGGGAUAACUAUUUGAAACGAUAGCUAAUACCGCAUAAGAGUAGAUGUUGCAUGACAUUUGCUUAAAAGGUGCAAUUGCAUCACUACCAGAUGGACCUGCGUUGUAUUAGCUAGUUGGUGGGGUAACGGCUUACCAAGGCGACGAUACAUAGCCGACCUGAUAGGGUGGUCGGCCACAAUGGGACUGAGACACGGCCCAGACUCCUACGGGAGGCAGCAGUAGGGAAUCUUCGGCAAUGGACGGAAGUCUGACCGAGCAACGCCGCGUGAGUGAAGAAGGUUUUCGGAUCGUAAAGCUCUGUUGUAAAAGAAGAACGAGUGUGGGAGUGGAAAGUUCACACUGUGACGGUAUCUUACCAGAAAGGGACGGCUAACUACGUG
rnacentral:rRNA from 1 species